rnacentral:sRNA from 1 species
GGAUUUUCGUUUGAGAUGGUUAAUUAGACCCAUGGCCUUAUGGCAAAUCAGCAGGAAAUAAGCUAUAUGAUGCCGCAAUUACAAUUACUUAGGACCCCGGUUAGUCAUCCAUUGUCGCUGCACGGCACCUGCCAUCGGGGACUAAGUAAGAUAUAGUCUACGGAGUACAGAUGAAUGACGUAGAGACAACAUUUUACAUUAUAUCUGAACAUCCUUUAGUCAUUUCUUUUCCCCCGUGCUAAAUAGCUAUUCAGUGGACCCGACAACACUGAAAUAGAGAAAGAUACCUACGAACCAGUACUUAGAUUAAAAUCUAAUUUUGUAUAUAUAUGCAGAUCAAAAUAUCCCUUCUUUGUUGAAACAACAACAUUUUUUUACCUAGUUUACAUCAUGACAAAACCGAAAACCAUCUAAUCUAUCAAAAUCAUCUAAUAUCAUAAAACGACCACUUUCCGAUCAAUUCUCCACACAAAAACGUAAUCCAAUCUUAAUACACUUUCUUUCACACAAUCAUGUUAUAGGGGGAAAAAAAGGAAAAAAAAAUUUUUUUAUUUAUUUAAUUUUUUUCUUUUUUUCUUGGAACUUGUCAGUUUCGGAACCUAUCAUCGGCGUAAAUAUAUUUGGGAAGAAACCACAUCAUUUCACAUGUAAACGCCCCUGACAUCUAACUUCUGCCCUGGCUAUCGGCUAUCACCAAGAAUACCAGUUCUCUGACCAAUUCCUCUUGUUGUGCAGAUGUGAUUCUCAGUUGCGUAGGAGGAGAGAACUGAGAAAACACAGAUUGGGGUAAGUUCGCAAGUCAGAAUCCAAUUAUCAUAUUUUCUUUUCUUUUCUUUUUUUUUCGGACAUGCAAGUAGAUAGAUACUGCGUAGAGCAGGGAAGGGUUCACCUUCUCCAUAACAAAGGGUUCAACCUCCCUUCUCCCUCCGCUAUAGCCUGGUUGAAGCAACUAGAUGGAUACAAAGGAUAUCAAUAGAAAAGAUAUGUUGGCAUAGAUGACUCCCCUAUUCUUUCCUGCAAAACCACCCUCCUCAACGGCAGAAUUGUUUGGCAAAAAGCAGCUGUCUCUCAAAGUAGGAAAACUCCACUCUUCGAUUAGAUAAUCGGGUGAUUUGCCAUUAGUUACGCGCACCAGGAUAACGUCUACGAUUCUAGGAACUCAACUCACUAGGCAUUGGCAAUUUCCCAAUCCCAUUCCUACUAACCAUUUUGGAUGCAAUCCCGCUGUAUAGAAGUUAAAUGCUUGGACAAAAGAAAAAGAAAAAGCAACAUCGUAAGAGAGAAGAAAGGAAAAGUUUAAGGGGCAAAAAAAAAAAAAAACAAGAGGGAGAGAGAACGGAAAAGCGAGAACACAAGAAACACAGGAAAGGAAAGGAAAGGAAAG